rnacentral:rRNA from 1 species
AUUGAACGCUGGCGGCAGGCCUAACACAUGCAAGUCGAACGAGUGGCGGACGGGUGAGUAAUGUAUGGGAAACUGCCUGAUGGAGGGGGAUAACUACUGGAAACGGUAGCUAAUACCGCAUACCAUCAGAUGUGCCCAGAUGGGAUUGGCUUGUUGGUGGGGUAAAGGCUCACCAAGGCGACGAUCCCUAGCUGGUCUGAGAGGAUGACCAGCCACACUGGAACUGAGACACGGUCCAGACUCCUACGUGAGGCAGCAGUGGGGAAUCUUCGACAAUGGGCGAAAGCCUGAUCCAGCCAUGCCGCGUGUAUGAAGAAGGCCUUCGGGUUGUAAAGUACUUUCAGUGGGGAGGCGUUAUCCGCAGAAGAAGCACCGGCUAACUACGUGCCAGCAGCCGCGGUAAUAC